rnacentral:rRNA from 1 species
GUACGGGAGGCAGCAGUGGGGAAUUUUGGACAAUGGGGGAAACCCUGAUCCAGCCAUUCCGCGUGAGUGAAGAAGGCCUUCGGGUUGUAAAGCUCUUUCGCAAGGAAAGAAAACUUAUCUACUAAUACUAGGUGAGGUUGACGGUACCUUGAUAAGAAGCACCGGCUAACUACGUGCCAGCAGCCGCGGUAAUACGUAGGGUGCGAGCGUUAAUCGGAAUUACUGGGCGUAAAGCGUGCGCAGGCGGUUCGACAAGUCUGAUGUGAAAUCCCCGGGCUCAACCUGGGAACUGCGUUGGAAACUGUCGGGCUAGAGUGUAGAAGAGGGGGGUAGAAUUCCACGUGUAGCAGUGAAAUGCGUAGAGAUGUGGAGGAAUACCGAUGGCGAAGGCAGCCCCCUGGGCUAACACUGACGCUCAUGCACGAAAGCGUGGGGAGCAAACAGGAUUAGAUACCCCGGUAGA